rnacentral:lncRNA from 1 species
AAAAGGGGGAAAGGAGAAAAAAAUAAAGUGAAAUUUAACCCUUCCCAUAGUGAAACAAAGGAGGCUGACGUCGUUCCAACAGCAGCGGUUUGGGGGAGGGGGGCACUCCAUAAAAAUAAUAAAAUAAUAAUAAUAAUAAUGAAUAAUAAUAAAAGAGGCUUUGUCGUGCAUGAAGAAGGGGUGGGGGGUGGCUUUUUCUUUCUUUUUUCUUUCAUUUUAGGACAUUUUGGGGGCGUUUGGGGGACUAUUUUACCACCUGCCCCCCCCUUCCCUCCUCCUCCCCCCCUCCUGCGGAGGCAGAGCCGCAGUACAGCAGCUCAGCCCUAUAAAGCUCCACCCCAGCUCGGGGUGUGCAGGGGGAGCAGAGAGGCAGAGGAGCAGGGAAGAGCUGCAGAAAAAAAAAGAAAAUGACUGAAUUUGGGCAAUUUCUGAGAUUGGAGAUGGGGCUUUGAGAUGAGGAAAAGGAGAGAAGUGAGGAGAAAAAUGUGAGCAUGGAGGAGCGGCAGGGAGAGCAAGCGAGAUUUGAGGUGAAAACGUGGCUUUUUUUGUCAGCUGAAUGGGGGCAGAAAGAGAAGGCUGAGCUUGAAAAUGGGAAGCUGUGGAGCGAAAGCUUUGGCUCUUAAGAGAAGAUGGAUGGAUGGAUGGAAGGAGGAGAAAUGGAGAGCGAAGAGGAAAGGGAGAAGUGAGCAAGAUGGAGGAAACAAAACUGGGUGGCAGUGCGGAAAUGGAAGGAGGAGAAAAGGCGUUUUAGGAGAAUUUGGCAUUUCAGAGCCGGGAAGAGCGGAGGCGGCGACGAGGCAGGGAGGAUUUAGAGGAGAAAAAAGGACUUUUUGGUUCAAAAUAUGUAUUGGGGUCCGUAGGACGGAAGGCGGAGGGCAAAAUGGAAACGGGAGCAAAAGAGGAAAUAAUGGCCAAAAAACAAUGAAAGAGAGGAGGAAACGAUGGAAAGAAAAAGACAGAGGAGAGAAGGAAAUAAUUGGGGGGGAAAAAGGAAAAUUGGAGAUUAAUGGAAAAAAAGAAGAGGAAAAAAUAGGGAAUAAUAGAAAAAAGAGAAGUAGAAAUGGAAGAGAAAAUUGGGGAAAAAUAGGAAAAAAAAGAAGAGAAAAGGAGAAGUAG